GUCUGAGAGGAUGAUCAGCCACACUGGAAAUGAGACACGGUCCAGACUCCUACGGGAGGCAGCAGUGGGGAAUAUUGCACAAUGGGCGCAAGCUUGAUGCAGCCAUGCCGCGUGUGUGAAGAAGGCUUUCGGGUUGUAAAGCACUUUCAGUACGGAGGAAGGUGGUAGUGUUAAUAGCGGUAUCAUAUGACGUUACCUACAGAAGAAGCACCGGCUAACUCCGUGCCAGCAGCCGCGGUAAUACGGAGGGUGCGAGCGUUAAUCGGAAUUACUGGGCGUAAAGCGCAUGCAGGUGGUUUGUUAAGUCAGAUGUGAAAGCCCCGGGCUCAACCUGGGAAUUGCAUAUGAAACUGGCAAACUAGAGUACUGUAGAGGGGGGUAGAAUUUCAGGUGUAGCGGUGAAAUGCGUAGAGAUCUGAAGGAAUACCGGUGGCGAAGGCGGCCCCCUGGACAGAUAUUGACACUCAGAUCCGAAAGCGUGGGGAGCAAACAGGAUUAGAUACCCUGGUAGUCCACGCCGUAAACGAUGUCUACUUGGAGGUUGUGGCCUUGAGCCGUGGCUUUCGGAGCUAACGCGUUAAGUAGACCGCCUGGGGAGUACGGUCGCAAGAUUAAAACUCAAAUGAAUUGACGGGGGCCCGCACAAGCGGUGGAGCAUGUGGUUUAAUUCGAUGCAACGCGAAGAACCUUACCUACUCUUGACAUCCACAGAAUCCAGCGGAGACGCUGGAGUGCCUUCGGGAGC
rnacentral:rRNA from 1 species